CGUAAUAGCUCACUGGUCGAGUCGGCCUGCGCGGAAGAUGUAACGGGGCUAAACCAUGCACCGAAGCUGCGGCAGCGACACUAUGUGUUGUUGGGUAGGGGAGCGUUCUGUAAGCCUGCGAAGGUGUGCUGUGAGGCAUGCUGGAGGUAUCAGAAGUGCGAAUGCUGACAUAAGUAACGAUAAAGCGGGUGAAAAGCCCGCUCGCCGGAA
rnacentral:rRNA from 1 species